rnacentral:rRNA from 1 species
CUAAAACGUCCGUAGCCGGUCUGAUACAUUCGUGGGUAAAUCAACCAGCUUAACUGGUUGAAUUCUGCGAGGACGGUCAGACUUGGGACCGGGAGAGGUGUGGGGUACGCUCAGGGUAGGGGUAAAAUCCUGUCAUCCUGAGCGGACCACCUGUUGCGAAGGCGCCACACUAGAACGGAUCCGACGGUCAGGGACGAAGCCUAGGGGCACGAACCGGAUUAGAUACCCGGGUAGUCCUAGGUGUAAACGCUGUGGACUUGAUGUUGGGGGUGCUCCGAGCACUCUCAGUGUCGAAGCGAAGGUGAUAAGUCCACUGCCUGGGAAGUACGGUCGCAAGGCUGAAACUUAAAGGAAUUGGCG